rnacentral:lncRNA from 1 species
ACUAGAAGUAUUAGUUGUUCUUUAAACGUGAAUAAAACCAGACGUGGUCAUUUGAAGUUACAAAAAAUAUAAUAUCUCUCGAAAUUGAAAUCCGAUGAAUAUAUUUUAUUCACAAAAUAAUUAAUGUUCGAAGACAUGACUGUAUAUGGUAUUAUUGUUCAAAUAAUACUAGUUUGCAACUAAUAAUUUUAUCGCAGUAAUAGAUAAUUUCAAUUAAAUAUGACUUAGUAAAAUAAUAAAACCAAAAUGACGAUCAUAAAACAAUUGUUUCGUUUAAAAAUAAUUAAUUUAAGUAAGACGAUUAUUGAGAAUUGGAAAACAAUUGGAUAUUCUGCAAACUUGUCCGUUACCAAAGCAAAUGACAGCAAUUCAUUAUGGUACCAUAAGUGUUCUUGUAACCCAAUAUCCAAAAAAAAAAAAGAGAAAGAAAAAUAAAUUUAUUUAUUUAAAAUACUAAUAUAUUUUAAUUUUAUUAAAA